rnacentral:lncRNA from 1 species
AUGAUCUCUGAAACUACUUGUUCUCUUUCUAAGCACGUACCCACUUUGUCUGCAGUGUGCAAGAUAAGGAGGCAGAAUCCAGCACAGGACCUCUAUGGACUAGAGUUGACUUUAGCCCUGUUCAGUGAAUCUACAACAGAUGUUGUAUUUCUAGCUCCUAAGUUUAUAAAGAAAAUCUUCAAAACUCAAGCUAAAUCAUCCAAUAAGAUCAAGAGACAAACAGAAAUGUGUAAUAAAAAUAAUAAAAAUCAAUAA